rnacentral:lncRNA from 1 species
UUAUCAGACUUUUUUGAUUUCUGACAUACAUACUGAAAACAGGCAACAUACAUGCAAAGUUUUCCACUGAAAAAUAGAAAUAGUUUGAAAAAAUAAAAAAUUCAAAUUGUCUUUCUGGUAUUAACAAUUUGAUAAGUUCUGCUACUAAAAGUACUACAAAGUUGUUUCCUUUGAUUAUCCCCUAUAAUUGUCUAAUUAAUAUUUUAAUUUAGCAGACAUUGUUAAAUUCUAUUCCUUAGGAGUGUAAUGCUAAGGCAAGGCCUUUUGGGAGGUUUUGUAGUACAUUAAAAGAAUAUACUAUCUCUUCCAAUGAAGUGUAUAUUGUAUAGUGAUAGAGACUAAUAUGUACAGAAAACACAUGGCUCAAUGUAAUCAUAAAGGUAGGACAUGCUUGUAAGAACUCAGAGGAGUCAAGGUUCAAUUCUGAUUAGAAAGAAAAGGGAGAGCUUUGUGGAACUCCUGAAGUUUGAGCCUUGAAGGAUGGGAAUAGAGGCAUAAAGGCAGGGAGGGAAUAAUCAACAAAGGCACAAAAGGAAGUGCAAGAAAUGUGGAGCAUGGUGGUUAUCAUUUAUUCAAUAAAUAUUCAGUGUCAGGCAUUGUACUGGUUCCUGUUGAAGAGGGGUGAGGGAAGGGCCCCUGCCCUCAAGAAGCACACAAACAGUUACGAUGCAUUAUGAAAAUGCUUAUUGAAACAUACAUUUCAAAGGGUAAGAAUAAUGUGGAAAUGAAAAUCAAGUGGGAAAGAAAAGGAGUGUGAUGCUAAACAAGCAGACACUUUAAUUUUCUGGGCUGUAGCUAAUUAUCUCUAAACAAAAGUACUUGGGGUGGUUAGACUAGAUUUUAUGUUUCUGCAUUUUAUUCUCAAAGUAAUGAAAAGCCAUUAAGGUCCUUGAAUGAUCUUCCUGCUUUAAAAAGAGUUUCAGAUUAAAAGGGGGAGAGAAACAACAGAAAGGAAACCCAUUUUUAAAGUCUGGAAAUAAAAUCAUGAGGUCCAGAAGUAGAGGAGCUAAAAGGCAUUGACAUGCUGAUAGGUUGAGAAGUGGGUAAGAGAAAGGUAAAAUUUAUUAUCUGUUCUUUGGAGAAUUUAAAAAGCAAAGAAGAAAAAACAGGGUGGUCUCCAAAUUUAUUUCUGAAGUUUAGCUAUCUCUCCUGAGAAUACAUUUUGAGAGCCUACUACACAUUUCUCUAUUUAGUGUCCUACGGGUAAACUGAAAUUCAUGAACUUAACACACACACACACACACACACACACAUACAUGAUUUCUUCCUCCAGAAUUCCCUAUCUUUAUGAAUUACACUACUAAACACCUUGUCAUCCACAUAAAAUAACUGGUAAUCAACCUACACUCCUGACCUCCAGUUUUCCAAAUCUGGUUGCUUACUAGGUCUUAGAAGUGAGUUGCAAAAUUGCAAAAUUCAAACAACUGUCAAGAAUAUAGAGUGGAAGGGAAAUACAGAGAAUUGGGCCUGACACUUUAUGUCGGUUGAUUCUUCCAGGCAUUUGCUGAUUCUUGAACUGACAGGGCAAAGGGCCAAGAAAUCUAUUCAAAGAAUGCUGGAAGGUUAAAUGAAACUCAGCUGACUCAUGCUAGGGAAUAAAAAUUAGAGUAUAAAUUGCGCCAAGUAGGUGGUGUCCUUGUGAACACCCCACAUUCUCAAUGUAAACAUUAUAUGGCUACACCCCAAGAGAGGAUAAAACCUGACCAAGUCUUAAAAAGACUGAAUGCAAUGUCAAGUAAGGUCAACCUUUUAGUGAACUAAGUUAUCUUGCCCUAAUCUGGCUGCCAGCUAGAAAAGAGGAAAGGGUGAAUCCUCUCUGGAGGAUGGCUAUCCAGAUUCUACAAUUUUUCAUGCACAGUAUGUUCAAUCAAAAAUUACCAAAACCAUUAGAAUCAGAAACAUCAAUAUGAAUUCAUACAUUUUAUGCACACACAGGUGGAUUACGCAGAAACAAUUAUAGAACAUACCUCUAUACAUAUGUUAUGCAUACAUACACUACCUAGCUCUUUGAGAGGAUCUAGAAGAAAUGACACCCAAGCAUCAAUGAGCAUAACUAGAUCUUGGUUUCUAAAUAGCAUUCUCCAAAUAAAAGGAACCAGGGCUCCUUUGAGAAAUGACUGGUUGUAGGGCUAGGGCAGGGAAAACUCAAGAUGAGCCUAGAGCAUCUUGUAGUACAGAAAGUAGGUAAGAGUUCAAAAAACAAAAGGAUAGGGGCAUGUCAAAGGAACAUAGGAGACAAACUGAAGGAGUUCCCAAGGCCAAAUAAGCAUACAUGCAUCCAUACUGAUAACAUAGGUAUGGGAGAAGAGACAACUCUUCCUUAUGGAAAAAUUCCAAAUUAUAUAUUUAGAUUCCUCCUCCAGAGGAAGCUGGAACUGUUGACCUACUUCCAAAGAAUAGAGUAUGGAAAAGGAAAAACUAACUACAGUGGAGAAAUCUGACAAAAACUAUCAUAAGGCAGGGCUUGUCAACCUUAGCACUAUUGACAUUUUGGGGCACAUAAUUUUUUGCUGUGGGGAGCCGUCCUGUGGACUUAUUGGACAUUUGAUACUAUCCUUGGCCUCUAUCCACCAGAUACCAGUGGCAACCCUCCCCCAGUUACGACAGUCAGCCAAAAAUGUCUCCAGCCACUGCCAAAUGUCACCUGACGGGCUUCUCACCUGCCUAAGAUGCACCACCUAAAGGGUAACAUCACCAGUGAGUGAUGUUAUGUGAAUAUUAUGUACCACUUGGUAUGAUGUUACAAGAAAGUCACUUCAAAUUGUAGUAUUCUUUUUAAAAACCUAUAAUCCCCAAAUUAACUAAAAUUAGAAAUAAAAGAGGGCAUGUUACUGCUGUAAUUUCAGAAAUAAAAAGGAUUAGAAGAAACUGCUAGGAAUAAUUGUACACCACAAAUUGGAUAACCUAGAUGAAAUAGACAAGAUCCUAGAAACACACAGCCUACCAAUGAAUUGUGAAAAAGUAGAAAAUCUGAAUAGAACUAUGGCUAGUAAGAUUAAAUCAGUAAUCAAAUACCUACCAAAAAAAUAGCCCAGGACCAGGUGGCUUCACUGGUGAAUUCUAUCAAAGAAGUAACACUGGCUGGGCGUGGUGGCUCACGCCUAUAAUCCCAGCACUUUGGGAGGCCGAGGCGGGCGGAUCACAAGGUCAGGAGAUCAAGACCAUCCUGGCUAACACGGUGAAACCCCGCCUCUACUAAAAAUAC